UAGGGAAUCUUCCACAAUGGACGCAAGUCUGAUGGAGCAACGCCGUGUGAGUGAAGAAGGUUUUCGGAUCGUAAAGCUCUGUUGUUGGUGAAGAAGGAUAGAGGCAGUAACUGGUCUUUAUUUGACGGUAAUCAAUCAGAAAGUCACGGCUAACUACGUGCCAG
rnacentral:rRNA from 1 species